rnacentral:rRNA from 1 species
UACGGAGGAUGCAAGCGUUAUCCGGAAUGAUUGGGCGUAAAGCGUCCGCAGGUGGCUAUGUAAGUCUGCUGUUAAAGAGUGAGGCUCAACCUCAUAAAAGCAGUGGAAACUACAUGGCUAGAGUGCGUUCGGGGCAGAGGGAAUUCCUGGUGUAGCGGUGAAAUGCGUAGGGAUCAGGAAGAACACCGGUGGCGAAAGCGCUCUGCUAGGCCGCAACUGACACUGAGGGACGAAAGCUAGGGGAGCGAAUGGG